rnacentral:rRNA from 1 species
AUUGAACGCUGGCGGCAGGCCUAACACAUGCAAGUCGAACGAGCGGCGGACGGGUGAGUACUGUCUGGGCAACUGCCCGAUGGAGGGGGAUAACUACUGGAAACAGUCGCUACUACCGCAUACCAUCGGAUGUGCCCAUAUGGGAUUAGCUAGUAGGUGGGGUAACGGCUCACCUAGGCGACGAUCCCUAGCUGGUCUGAGAGGAUGACCAGCCACACUGGAACUGAGACACGGCCCAGACUCCUACGGUAGGCAGCAGUGGGGAAUAUUGCACAAUGGGCGCAAGCCUGAUGCAGCCAUGCCGCGUGUAUGAAGAAGGCCUUCGGGGUGUAAAGUACUGUCAGCGAGGAGGCGUUACCCGCAGAAGAAGCACCGGCUAACUCCGUGCCAGCAGCCGCGGUAAUAC